rnacentral:rRNA from 1 species
CGAGCGGUAGAGAGAAGCUUGCUUCUCUUGAGAGCGGCGGACGGGUGAGUAAUGCCUAGGAAUCUGCCUGGUAGUGGGGGAUAACGCUCGGAAACGGACGCUAAUACCGCAUACGUCCUACGGGAGAAAGCAGGGGACCUUCGGGCCUUGCGCUAUCAGAUGAGCCUAGGUCGGAUUAGCUAGUUGGUGAGGUAAUGGCUCACCAAGGCGACGAUCCGUAACUGGUCUGAGAGGAUGAUCAGUCACACUGGAACUGAGACACGGUCCAGACUCCUACGGGAGGCAGCAGUGGGGAAUAUUGGACAAUGGGCGAAAGCCUGAUCCAGCCAUGCCGCGUGUGUGAAGAAGGUCUUCGGAUUGUAAAGCACUUUAAGUUGGGAGGAAGGGCAUUAACCUAAUACGUUGGUGUUUUGACGUUACCGACAGAAUAAGCACCGGCUAACUCUGUGCCAGCAGCCGCGGUAAUACAGAGGGUGCAAGCGUUAAUCGGAAUUACUGGGCGUAAAGCGCGCGUAGGUGGUUUGUUAAGUUGAAUGUGAAAUCCCCGGGCUCAACCUGGGAACUGCAUCCAAAACUGGCAAGCUAGAGUAGGGCAGAGGGUGGUGGAAUUUCCUGUGUAGCGGUGAAAUGCGUAGAUAUAGGAAGGAACACCAGUGGCGAAGGCGACCACCUGGGCUCAUACUGACACUGAGGUGCGAAAGCGUGGGGAGCAAACAGGAUUAGAUACCCUGGUAGUCCACGCCGUAAACGAUGUCAACUAGCCGUUGGAAUCCUUGAGAUUUUAGUGGCGCAGCUAACGCAUUAAGUUGACCGCCUGGGGAGUACG